rnacentral:rRNA from 1 species
CAAGUCGAACGAGCGAGAGGGAGCUUGCUUUCUCGAGCGAGUGGCGAACGGGUGAGUAACGCGUGAGGAACCUGCCUCAAAGAGGGGGACAACAGUUGGAAACGACUGCUAAUACCGCAUAAGCCCACGGGUCGGCAUCGACCAGAGGGAAAAGGAGCAAUCCGCUUUGAGAUGGCCUCGCGUCCGAUUAGCUAGUUGGUGAGGUAACGGCCCACCAAGGCAACGAUUGGUAGCCGGACUGAGAGGUUGAACGGCCACAUUGGGACUGAGACACGGCCCAGACUCCUACGGGAGGCAGCAGUGGGGAAUAUUGCACAAUGGGGGAAACCCUGAUGCAGCGACGCCGCGUGGAGGAAGAAGGUCUUCGGAUUGUAAACUCCUGUUGUUGAGGAAGAUAAUGACGGUACUCAACAAGGAAGUGACGGCUAACUACGUGCCAGCAGCCGCGGUAAAACGUAGGUCACAAGCGUUGUCCGGAAUUACUGGGUGUAAAGGGAGCGCAGGCGGGAAGACAAGUUGGAAGUGAAAUCCAUGGGCUCAACCCAUGAACUGCUUUCAAAACUGUUUUUCUUGAGUAGUGCAGAGGUAGGCGGAAUUCCCGGUGUAGCGGUGGAAUGCGUAGAUAUCGGGAGGAACACCAGUGGCGAAGGCGGCCUACUGGGCACCAACUGACGCUGAGGCUCGAAAGUGUGGGUAGCAAACAGGAUUAGAUACCCUGGUAGUCCACACCGUAAACGAUGAUUACUAGGCGUUGGAGGAUUGACCCCUUCAGUGCCGCAGUUAACACAAUAAGUAAUCCACCUGGGGAGUACGACCGCAAGGUUGAAACUCA